CCAAGAGUCAGACAUGCCCAGAGGUGCAUCAGGCACAGCAUCACCAGCCCGCCAAGGGAGGUGGUGGUUCCACUCUGCAUUUCACAGUGCAGCCCCACUUUGAGCCCCCUUGAGUGCUCAGUUUGGGGCACCUCAACACGAGCAGAACAUCAAAUUAUGAGACGGUCCAGAGGUGUGCAAACAAGUCGGUGAUAGGCCUCGUGGGCAAGACCUGUGAGAGGUGCCUGAGGUCACUUGGCUUGUUCAGCUUGGAGGAGAAGGCUGAGGGGAGACCUCAUCACAGCCAACAGCUUCCUCAAGUGGGGCAGUGGAGAGCAGGUGCUGAUCCUCUCUCUGCUGACCAGUGGCAGGACACAAGGAAAUGGGAUGAAGCAGGGGAAGUCCAGACUGGACAUUAGGAAGAGGUUCUUCACUGCAAGGGUGACUGGCCACUGGAACAGGCUCCCCAGGGAAGUGGUCAUGGCUCCAGGCCUGUCAGAGAUCGAGGAGAGUCUGGGCAAUGCUCUUUGUCACUUGGGUUAGCUUUAGGCAGCCCUGUGAGGAGCAGGGGGUUGGACUCCAUGGUCCUUAUGUGUCCAUUCCAAUUGAAGAAAUUCUAUGACAAGCAAAUUCAAAGUAGUGCAUCUCAAAUGGUAACAGCUCCAUGAGAUAGUACAGACUACAUGGCACCCCUUUAGGAGGCAGCUCUGCAGAAAUGGACUUCAGGGGCCUGAUGGACAAGUGAAACAAGCAUCAGCAGCUGCAGCAAAGACCAUCAGGAUGCUGGCUAUAAAAGUGCAGACAACACAUACUUGAAGAUUUGAAGUUUAUCCUGAACAAUACAUGAAAAGUAAUAUGAUGUGCUGGAGUGGGUCUGAGUCCAAAGCUGACUGUGCAUUUCCCACACAGUGCUGGAGUGUCCAGGAUCUCCCAGCAGCCAUGGGGACAGUUUGUCACCUUUGCCAAGACAUUCUCUCUGACUUCUGGAAAAAGAGAGACAAUGACACUACUGUGCUGUCUGGCUUUAUCCCAUACCUUGAAGUAGGCAGAAUUGUUACCAUUAAAUUAAAUGAAAGCAGGUCCAGAAUAUUUUUUUUUUAA
rnacentral:lncRNA from 1 species